GAUGAACGCUAGCGGCAGGCUUAAUACAUGCAAGUCGAGGGACAGCACAGGUAGCAAUACUGGGUGGUAACCGGCAAACGGGUGCGGAACACGUACACAACCUUCCUUUAAGUGGGGGAUAGCCCAGAGAAAUUUGGAUUAAUACCCCGUAAUAUAGUUGAAUGGCAUCAUUUGAUUAUUAUAGCUACGGCGCUUAAUGAUGGGUGUGCGGCUGAUUAGAUAGUUGGCGGGGUAACGGCCCACCAAGUCUACGAUCAGUAGCUGAUGUGAGAGCAUGGUCAGCCACACGGGCACUGAGAAACGGGCCCGACUCCUACGGGAGGCAGCAGUAAGGAAUAUUGGUCAAUGGACGCAAGUCUGAACCAGCCAUGCCGCGUGAAGGAUUAAGGUCCUCUGGAUUGUAAACUUCUUUUAUUUGGGACGAAAAAGGGCCUUUCUAGGUCAACUGACGGUACCAGAUGAAUAAGCACCGGCUAACUCCGUGCCAGCAGCCGCCGUAA
rnacentral:rRNA from 1 species